GAUGAACGCUAGCGGCAGGCCUAACACAUGCAAGUCGAGGGGUAGAACACUUCGGUGUUUGAGACCGGCGCACGGGUGCGUAACGCGUAUGCAAUCUACCUUGUACAGGGGAAUAGCCCAGAGAAAUUUGGAUUAAUGCCCCAUAGUAUAUAACCUUCGCAUGUUGGUUAUAUUAAAGUUCCAACGGUACAAGAUGAGCAUGCGUCCCAUUAGUUAGUUGGUAAGGUAACGGCUUACCAAGACGAUGAUGGGUAGGGGUCCUGAGAGGGAGAUCCCCCACACUGGUACUGAGACACGGACCAGACUCCUACGGGAGGCAGCAGUGAGGAAUAUUGGUCAAUGGGCGCAUGCCUGAACCAGCCAUGCCGCGUGCAGGAAGACGGUCCUAUGGAUUGUAAACUGCUUUUAUACAGGAAGAAACCCUCCCACGUGUGGGAGAUUGACGGUACUGUAGGAAUAAGGAUCGGCUAACUCCGUGCCAGCCGCCGCGGUAAGAC
rnacentral:rRNA from 1 species